ACGGGACCCGCACAGCGGUGGAUGAUGUGGUUUAAUUCGAUGCAACGACGAAAACCUUACCCACCUUUGACAUGUACGGAAUCCUUUAGAGAUAGAGGAGUGCUCGAAAGAGAGCCGUAACACAGGUGCUGCAUGGCUGUCGUCAGCUCGUGUCGUGAGAUGUUGGGUUAAGUCCCGCAACGAGCGCAACCCUUGUCAUUAGUUGCUACGAAAGGGCACUCUAAUGAGACUGCCGGUGACAAACCGGAGGAAGGUGGGGAUGACGUCAAGUCCUCAUGGCCCUUAUAGGUGGGGCUACACACGUCAUACAAUGGCUGGUACAAAGGGUUGCCAACCCGCGAGGGGGAGCCAAUCCCAUAAAGCCAGUCGUAGUCCGGAUCGCAGUCUGCAACUCGACUGCGUGAAGUCGGAAUCGCUAGUAAUCGUGGAUCAGCAUGUCACGGUGAAUACGUUCCCGGGUCUU
rnacentral:rRNA from 1 species